UCAAAUCUCCGGCAAUUUUCCAGUCGCAUGGCGGCCCCGCGGGCGGCAGUCGCUCUCCGGCGUGGGACCGACCGACCAGUCCAGGAAACGAAAUUGUUGACUCCGCCGGAUAGCACGUUCUCAAGGCGUCAGGUCGAUUUCGAGGCCACGCUAAGCUCCCCUCUCUUCGGACAUUAAACCAUCGUAAUCCGAAACAGUCGACGGUUUUCCCAUUAACAGGAAGUGGUUUUAUCAUUGCCCGGGUAUACUUUCGCAUCAGAGCUCGAGUAAGACGGGGAAAAAGCCAUGAUUUGUGAUGGGCGUUUUUCUUCUACAAAUUCUGAUCACAUCAUUCUUAUUUUCUUCCACCGUACAGUGCUUUGAUGUAUUGUUAAGUCUUUUAGUCUCAUGGUUCCUCUAAUCCGUGAGAUAACUGCUGUGCAUCUAUCUCUAGGGACAACAAAACCCUAUGUAGGAUAAUUGCUGCGGAUCUCGGUCGAGACAACGCAACCCGGUCUGUGAUAAGAUCUGUGCAUUUCGGUCAAGAAUUUAUCAUCAUCUCAUAUGAGAUAAUAUUUGACCACACCUCUGUCUUUUGCUUCUCUCUCUCUCCCGCUGUCCUCUCUCCCUCUGCCUCUCUCUCUCACUGUCUGUCUCUCUCCUCUCUCCAUCUGUCUCUCUCCUCUCUCCAUCUGUCUGUCUCUCUCUCUCUCUCUCAGUUUUCUUCCUCUUUUCCUCUCUCCUCUUUCUCGGCCCCUCAGCUCACCUUUN
rnacentral:lncRNA from 1 species